ACUUAGAAUGGCAAACAAGCUGACGGCCCACCUGAUGGAAAGUGGUAACCGUCGCCUAUAGACAUGAGCAGUACCAUGGACAUAACAGAGUAUAUUGUUUCGCCCAUGAUACCCCCCAUGCGUUGCCAUUCCUGAGGACACAGAUGUUAUUCCUCUGUACCCAGUAAAUUCACGCCAUAUCCCACCCUUCAAACCGAAACACAGCCAUGCAAACACAACUGCUUCACGGUAGAAGUGUUUCUACCGUGGGAAUGGGACAGAGGUACCCAAGCAAUCGACUUUUGUACAGUCUCCCUCUGGUAUGUAUGUUUUCAGAUUUUUUUUUUAAAACUAAUAAUGAAAAAGCAAAGUAACUUAUAUAAUAGUUAUAUAUUGACUUGGUCCACGCUUGUUUUAUUUCCAAAGUGUCUCUUAUAACAUUUUAUUGUAUAAUGUAUACAAAAGCAUACAAGUUAAAGUCCAAAUUGAAUUGACAAGUUGUUUGCUAUAUCAGAGCGGUGAGACCACGAGUAAUGAAGUUUACUUACUCCACAAACGCUUUAAAAGUACUGUUAGCUGAGUACCGUCUUCCAAUGCACAGAUAAUACAAAUAAGAGAAUUUUGACAAACAGAAGUCCUUACUCGAGUGGUUGCAACCCCUCUAUACAGUCUCUUUACAUAUCAAACUGAUUUUGUGUUAAAAAUAUUUCCAUUUUGGGUCAUUGUACAAUAUUUCUGUCAAUAUAAAAUUUCUGUAUUAAUAAUAGAAAUCCCACAACUAUUAUCUUUUAUUAUAAUUUGAAAAAAAAAUAUAUAUAUAUAUAUAUAUAUAAGAAUAUUUACCACAGACAAAAAAAGGCCCAAUCAUACUACGCUUUAAGAGAAACACAGUUCGCUUGAAUAAACUGUAUGAAACUUUCUUAAAUUGUGUCUAAGGACCCGAAUUGUACACGUCUCUUGCACACCUUGGAAAACUAGUAAAUGUAUAAUAGUCAUAAACAAGUAUUAAUUAACUAUACAUACGAGGGUAAAAUGAAAAGUUCUCGGCCUGACACAGAGAUGGCGUUCUAAUCGACAAAAAUUUAUUUUUCUUGCCUUGUCAUUAAUUUUUAAACUUAUUUUCUAAAAUAGUUUAUUAACACGAAUUUUUGCAGCAAACGUCGUGCAUGUUUUUCGUUAAAGUGGAUAAAUUUGAAUAUCGUGCGAUACAUAAAAUCUGUAUGAUGGAUGUAAGGGAUACGAUUUGCUCGGUCAUCUCCCCUAUUCUAAUUUUUUGUUUCUGGGAAGCGGUUUAUGUCCGACAAAGAAGUUGAGAGGGUCGUAAAUUAAUAUUGUCAUAACCUUCCAGACUCUCACUCCCGGAAAGGAAUACUGAUGUUAGAGAAACGCUGGUUCAAGUGUGUUUGAAGUCAAAGGAGAUUAUGUAAAAAAAUAAAAAUAUUUUUUUUUACUUAAAAUCGCAGUCUUUCACUGUCAGCCUGAAAACUUUUCACCUCACCCUCAUACUAUAUAAGAUUCGUAUGGUACUAAAAGUACUAAUAAUCACGUGAUCUUCUAAGUAUUAUAUUGCUCGAAUAAUGUCUAAUUUAUAAUCUGUAAUUGUAUUUUAUUAAAUUUUUAUGUUACAUCACUCCUUAGAAGUGCCUUCCUCUGUGUAUAAAUAUAUUUAGGGCCAUAUUACACGUGCGAUUAUUGAACCUGUUUACGAGCUAUCGCAGGCGUGUAGUUUGCCGAGAUAUGACAAAGAAUAUUAUUUUUAAAACUUAUGAUCAUUUUUAUAUGCCAUCUAUAUACAUAUAUAACGGGAUAUUCGUGAACUCAAAAGACACCAGAAGCGAAAACGAGAGUCCUUCACAGUCAUUUUCGACAACACCAUUAUCUUGUGUCAUCUUUAUCCCCCCCCCCCCCUCACCCCCCAUAUCUUCACGGGCUCUGCGAGCUGCGGCACACAGUGCGCGACGAGCAUCUGUGACGCAAAGCGCUAAACGCCCCUGAAGAAGACUUAAAGAUGCAGUCGAAACAUGGCCGUAGCUAAGAGGGAGUGGGGACAUAGAUGGGCAGUAAUCUACCUUGAAAGACCCAAUGCCCUACCUUAAACAUGGGUCUAGCUACGGUUCUGAAUCGAAACAAUUGUCGGAAACGGUAAACACGGUGAGUUCAUUAAUUUCCCGUUAUAUAUAUAGACAUGACGAGGAUUAUUAUAAAACUAAAUGCUAAUGGAUUGUCUUGCUCCGAACGUGUUCGCUAAUCGCUAGUGUAAUAUAGCUCUGAUCGUGCUGUUAAUCUAGAUUUAUGAUGUAUAGAAUGAGAGCGAUGUCUUCUAAAAAAUAAACGGAAUGUCAAAUUAAA